GAUGAAGAACGUAGCGAAAUGCGAUAAGUAAUGUGAAUUGCAGAAUUCAGUGAAUCAUCGAAUCUUUGAACGCAUCUUGCGCUCCUUGGUAUUCUGAGGAGCAUGCCUGUUUGAGUGUCAUUAAAUUCUCAACUACACUGACUUUGAAUUGGUGUGGCUUGGAUUUGGGGGGAAAAUUGUUGUGGGCUUUUUGUAUAGUCUGCUCCCCUGAAAUUGAUUAGCGGUACCUUUGUGGAACUGUCUACAGGUGUGAUAAUUAUCUACAUCUUAGACAUCUGCUGAAAUGCUGCUUUCUAAACCUUACUUGUAUUGACAAUCUUGACCUCAAAUCAGGUAGGACUACCCGCUGAACUUAAGCAUAUCAAUAAGCGGAGGA
rnacentral:misc_RNA from 1 species